UCAAUAACCACAACUGCGCUGUGCCCGGCGGAGGGAGACGGUGCGGCCGUCGGGCUCCCGCCACCGUCUUCCGCGUUCGCUGGGAGGAGCAGGGCCGUGGGCGUCUCCCAGCCCGGGGAGUGCAGGGCGCCGGAGACGGGGAUGCCCGUCCUCUCAUUUCGAUGCCCACGCCCACUGCUCUCGUGUGGCGCUCGGAAAAGCCAGCUGCCGAAAUCCAGUGCCAGGUUGCAACUCUGAAGCAACGAUCUGAUGCAGGCAUGCUUACGAAGCGACAACUUAGUACCAUUGUUUGGAGAUUGGAGGAGCUUCUGGACAAAGAAGAUACUUGGAUCAUCUGGAUGCAAAAAAUCAAAAUAUGAUCUGCUUCCUCAGGUGUAUGACUGCCAAUUCUAAACAUAGCACCAAAAUACAUCUUUCAUGCGUGAACGGGUGGCCCUCAGAGAUGUCCGCGUUCUACAUGUCCCGUCAACACUUAUGUACGCGAAUAUAUUCACCAAGAGUCUGCCAACUGUGGUGUUCCAAGAUUUCCACUCCAGUCUCAAGAUCCGUGAAGCUCCAAGUUGACACUACGGAAGGGUGUUGGAAUAUCUACUAUCCAGGCCCAGCCACCCUGCCGCCUGGACCCAUCGUGACCGAAUGGAAAUGAUCUCCAUGUAUAGCAAGGAUCCGAGAUAUGGAAACUUACGGAGAAAAGUUGGCAGAAUGCAGCAAGAAAGGAGACAGAAUUGUGCCCCAGAUGAAUUAGAAAUUAGUCUCACCCCGUCCGUGCUUGAUUCCGCUCCCAUUGCUUCACGGUGACGGCGAUUCUUAUGAGCAACGCCUCGGGCGGUUGGGCGAAGUAGGCAGUCUGGGAGCAAAAUAGCUGGCGUGCUGUUCGUGUUAAGGUAGAUGGAGGUUCUGCUAGCUGAAAGUAUUACUCCAUUGUGCUAGUGUUAGGAUACAAGCUCCGUAACCUCUUUUUUGUUUCCGAUUAUUGAGUAUGGAAGUAGAGUUUCAGUAGCUCCGGAUGCGAAUCAA